rnacentral:misc_RNA from 1 species
AAGUCGUAACAAGGUCUCCGUAGGUGAACCUGCGGAGGGAUCAUUAAGUAUCGCCAGCUGCCAAAGCAAACAGCGAGAGCUGGAUUGUUGUUUGGGAGCUAGUAUAACAUAUGUGUUUAGGGGGGUAAUCAUCUCCCUAAUAUUUCAUACUUCACAAAGCCCUAAUACGCUUUGGCCAAACAAACAAACAAACUUACAGGAACGACAUACAACACACCCCAUUGGAUACCUUGGUUCCCAC